rnacentral:lncRNA from 1 species
UUACCUUCAGCAGAUUCAAUUGUAGUUCGACGAACGCUAGGGAUUCUAACAGAAAACCUCCAUGGUCUCCCUGGGCUGAACGAGAGUGCUGAGACAGUUGAGAAAAGGGAAGCCUUCUGGUCAUCUGUGAAGCCAGCUCAUUUUGGUGUGAAAAUAGGCUCAAAAUCUUUCUUGGGCAUUCUCCGAAUCAUCAUGGUUGGAGUUUUCAUUGGUCUUUUUGGAAGUAUUGGUUUUGGAAGGCAGCUUCUUUUGAAAUUUCCUGAAAUAUUCAGCCUUGGUUGGUUCAGGAAGAAUGGCCCCUCUGAAGAGGAGGUGGAAAGUGCUUCCUUCAAGAUGUGGUUUGUUGGACAUGGUUAUAGUGAUGGGAGCAUUGCUUCACAGGGAAACACAAAACCUGACAUGGAGAUUGUAACAAGGGUUAUGGGACCUGAAGUUGGAUAUCUGACCACACCAAUAAUUCUUAUUCAGUGUGCUCUUGUUCUUCUCUGCCAACGUGACAACCUUCCAAAAGGAGGAGUUUACCCUCCUGGGAUCAU